rnacentral:lncRNA from 1 species
GAAAAUAUUUGGAUAUGGAAAAGCGGCUAAUUUAAAGGAUGAUGGAAUGGAGGUUAUGAGAUGAUAGAGAUCCUGAAAAUCAAAGGAAUGGAAUGGGCUAUCUUGAUCUUCAUUUGAAUCUUACAGUUGUAUUUUUAUUAUUUUAUGAUGGAAUAAUAAUUUUCAAAGUCGAAUGGAGGAUUUCCAUUCUCAACUAUAGAAAUCUACUUGAGGAUGGAUGGAUAAAGGAUUAUUCGAGUGAUAACAAGUUGAGAUUGAAGGAGUUGCUGAAAAGAAGUGGAAGCACUAACCCCUUCAAUCAUGUCCUCACAUUAUGUGACAUCUUGUAAGCAUAUUCACAACUCACAUUCACUUUUCAUCUUGUAAGCAUAUGUUUGAUAAGUGUACGCAAUUUUAAAAAAUAAUUUGUAAACUAUUGUAGUGAAGAAAAUAUUUCUGAAUCUUUAAUAGUUUUUGCUGAUUAGGAAAAAGAGUUUAUCAUAUUAUUUGAUUCGAAACAAAAAUCGGCUCUUAUAAAGACGAUUUCUAAAAAUUCAUAUAUUUAGGCAAAAAUCAUCUUUUAAAGAGACCAUUUUUAAAUGUUCUUUAAAAAAAUCAAAGCAGAAAUCAUUUCUUCAAGAAAAGAUUUCUUUUUAUUUUAAAAAAGAAAUUAUAUGCAAAAUUUAUCUCUAAAGAAAUGAUUUCAAAAAAUUAAUUUUAAAGAAAAAAAUAUUUUUAUGCUACAUGUUUUCUUAUUUUUAAUAAUAUUUAAACUAAUAAUAUAUUUCAAUAAUAAAAUUAUUAUUAAUAUAUGUAUUGUAAAAUUAAGUAAUUUUAUUUAUUAAAUUCAAUACAUAAAAAUAAUUAUAAUUAUUAUUGAUAUAUUACUCAUAAUUAUAAUAUUUAUAAAAAUAUAAAUUAUAUUUAUCAUCUUAUAUUCAUUAAAAUAAUAUUUUGACCAUUAUCUUGAAUUUUAUCAUCCAAUUAAUUAAUUAAUUAUUAUUAAAAUAUAAAUUAAUUUAAUUUUAUACUCAUAAUUUUAUCCUUUUUUCUUUCUACUACAAAUACCGGUUUAGGUUUAUUCAAUUCUCUUGACCUCGGUCUCAAUUAUCAUUCUUCAUCUCAUUCAAUUUUGGUUGGAUCUCUACGAGACCAUCUGACCCAACUUCUUCUUCUUCUUCUUCUUUUAUUUUUUAUUUUUAUUUUUAUUUUUAUUUUUUAUCAUCCCUAAUAUCUCUAAACUUCUAGAUAUCGAGCAUGAGGGUCAUUAGUUGGUAAGAAUGGAACCCCUUACCAUCAUGCUAAAACUUGUAAUACUUUAGGUUUAAUUUAAAUAUAAGCAAUUAAUUUGUUACUUAUGUUGGUCAUAUUUUAGGUUUUGAAAUUUACAUAUAUCUAUCUUCAUUUUAGGUUUUUCUGGUUUCUGCUAUUGUACACAAGCAUGAAUAUGUAUGCUAUCCUUAGUCACUAUAGUGUUUAUGACUUGUUCUAUUAUACUCCUCAAGCUGUUGUUGUAGAGGGGCCAGCUGCCUUCUCUUCUGCUUUGACACAGCAAUUUGAUUAGGCCCAAAUGCCAUAACCACCCCUUGAUUGUUACCAAGGAGUGAAAUACAUGUCAUCCUAAAUUCCAUACAUUUUCUAAAAUGGACCUAUAUUCAGCAGCUGUACAUUGGAAUGCAUGUUAUCAGCAUGCUUUCACCAUUUUCAUUUCUUAUAUUCUCAAAAACUCAUAAAAGAAUUUUCAUGUCCCCUACCAAACAGACCCUCAAAUUAAUUUAGCACUUGAUAUCAUUUCUCAAAUAUUUACUUAUAAGACUCAAAGCAUCAAAUAUGCAUAGGAACCAUGUACAAAAAUCCCAUCAACAUAAAAUCACAGGUCUUUGUCACAAAUUUAUGUGAUUAACACAAUCUUUUCCCUUGAGACUUACUUUACCUAAAAUCUAACAGCUUCUCUCCUAGAGCUAUUCCAACAGCUUCUGGCCAUACUGCCGGCUCUGGUUUGAUAGGAUCAUUAUUCUUGAUUAUUGUCCUUAGGCAUCACAUUCAAAAUUCAACCAUAGCAGAUGUCUCUUCUAGUUUGGCCUUUUCAAACUUGGGUGGUUUGAAAGUAUUCCCCGUAAUGAGAAGUCAAGCUUAUAAAAUCUUUUAAGACCAACACUUGUAUCAUAAAUCUUGGUUGUCUCAACACUUGUACUACGAAUAGACCCACCAAAUUGAUUUUUUAAUUUCUCCCCUUGUAAAUUAUAGUCUGCAAGAUUCUCAUUCAACUUAGUUUGGGCUAAAAACAAUUGCAGGCUAUCAAGACUAUUGUAAUAUCGUAACAUGUAGACCGAUAUUAAUAUCUAGGUUUAAAGCUUUGGUGGAUAAAUGAAGGGUAUGGACACAUGUCCUUAGAUGAGAGUUGCAAAAUACUUUGUAGUUUUUCAAACUCUCCUAUUUAAUUGAACCCUUUUAUGCUGAGUUGUACCUCACCUUUUUUAUUUAAAUUCUUAAUUUUUUUUUUUUAAUAUCAAGUUAGAGGGGAGCAAGAAAGAAGGAGUUGAGUUAUGGUGUUACAAUUAAGGGAUUUGGGAUUUGUGUGUUUGUAGUAUAGGAUUUUGUGAUAUUGGAAAGUUCUUUAAUAUUAUAAAAACAGAGAAUUACAAUUGUGUGAAAUAAUUAUUGUUUUGUUGCAUGAUUUUUAGAGCAAAAAGUUUCUAAGGCUAUAAAGGCUGUUCAUAGAGGAAAAAGAUAACUUCCAAAAGUUAAACCAAAACUGAAAAAUGUUAAGUUGAAAAUAAGGGAAGAAAAGUUAGUACGUGGUUUGUGGGGUUGAUGUCAUGCCCCAAGAUCCAUUCCAAAGGUGUCACGGUUAUUUCACACCUAAAGCCUAAAAACUCAAAGUGCAAAUGACUCAAACAAUCACUUUGUAAUUUAAGGUUAUCAAUGACCAAACUUCUGUUCAGAAUAGUAAAACAUCUUAUAAUCCUUAAAACUCCACUUUUUAAAAAAAAAAAGAAAAAGAAAAAAUUAACUAACAUACCAACCACUAUGCUAUCAUCCAAACAACUUCAAAAAUUCUUUAAAAUGUCAAACAAUAAUUAAUUUUAUCUAACAUUUAAAUAAUGUCCAAAAUAAAAGUUUAAACUAAAAAUCUUAAUAAAAACAAAUUCCUAUUCUAACUAAACACAUACAUUAAAGGAAUAUUUGAAUUGAAUUUUACCACAAACUUAUCAAAAUUUCAAAUUAUUAUUCAUGACAAAAACUAGGGUAGCUUCAAUAUAAAAAAACCACAAAUCAUAAGUUUAUUGAUGAGUCUUAACUAUCAAAAUAUAAAAGGGUUUUUUUCUUAAAUUUACUAGCAUUCUUUUUAUUUUCACUAAAAUUAGAACCUAAAAAAUUCACAAAAUAUCAUAUAAAAGUGUACUUCUACCUACUCAACUCUAUUUUUCAAACUAUCAAUCGAUAGUUUAAGAGUCAAUUUGUUUAUAUGGUGAAAAGCCCAUCUUUACUGUUUAAUUUUUCUUCGAUAACUAUCAUUGAUUGAUGCUAAUUUUCUUAUAUUCAAACCCAUUAAAUCAAAGGAAAACUCUAAAGUAUCAUGGUGGUGCCUAUCAAAUAAAAGAUUUACAUCAUUCAAUAUGAAUGAAGAACCCUAAAUUGUUGAACAAUAGUACAAAUGAAUAAAAUUUAGGUACAAAGAUACAAAUAAAUAAGAUUAAAAUAUAAAUAAUAAAACCAAAAAAUAUAUAUUUUAUAUUAUUUUAUUAAUGAUGUCUUUUCAACAAGUAUAAAAAUAGUACACGAAACCCAAUUCAAAUGUGGCCACUUUUUCUAAAAGUGGAAGAACAAUGUUUUCUUCACAACACAAUUUUCUUCCAUUGACUUGGCUCCUUGACCUUUUCUUCCAUUGACUUGACUCCUUGUCCUAGAAAGUUGACCGCAACAAAUCUUAUAGACACCAAUUUUAUGAAUAAAAUGUAAGUUUAAUCCUGUCAUUAUAUCAUCACGCUUGUAAGCUCAAUGGUUCACCCAUAUUUGUCCCAUUGAUUAUAUUUGUGUUUGUUGUACUUAUUGUUAGAAGAUUCAAAUUAAUCUUCAUGGUGUUUGAAAGUCAUUUUUAUUUUUUUUUAAAGAUUAGAAGCUUUUUUUUUCCCUUUUAAUAUUUCAAAGUUUUUUAUUUGAAAGUUGGAUUUUAGAUUAAAAAAAUUAAGAAUUUUUCUUAAUUACCAUUUGAUAAUAAUCGAAGAAUCUUAUGCACCAGCGGAAGAAGUUCAUACCUAACACAUGAGGGAGGAAGAGGUCUCGUCU